GCUCGGCCGAACACGGAGCGAAGCAAACUAUUAUUAGCCUGCGAGGUGAAAAGUCUGCAAGGCUGUCAUCGGCGCAUAGUAAUCUCUUAUAUAAAUUAAACAAAAAUAAGAGAUAACAGAUUACUUACCUUGCUUCGAAAACUGAUAGUUCUGAAUUUUAGACCACGAAAAAUUAUGAAAUCCGUAUCGAAUGGGCCGGUGACAGCCUCGAGCUAUAAGUUGUUUGCUUCGCUCCGUGUUCAGCCGAGCGUAAUUAAUUGUCCAACGGCGCCGGUCAAGGAUUCAAAUCGCUGCUUACUCGUUUUAAAAAAUGGCUAGCGGCCAGGGAAAAUGAUUUAGCUCGGAUGUUUUGCCACAUAUCGAAUAAUAACAGCCGAUUCCAAGCUACGAACAAGUUUCAAAACCAUUGCCUGGGCUACCUGUGAUUUGGCCAUAAGGAAAAUUAAAUACCAAGAUAGCAUGAGCUAUCUAAGAGAAAAUGGUCCCCGCUUUAUGGGUAAACGAACUCCCCCGCUGCUACGGCCUGAACACCGCAAAACUUUUUUCUUUGCGGGAGGAGAUGGGGCAGAGCAUAUGUGGAUUUUUUAAAAUCCACUUAAAAGCGCGAAAUAUCUAGGAAUGAAUGAGACAAUAAACACUUAAAACCUCUAAAUCAUUAAAUGACCCAUACAGUACAAUAAUAUUCUUAUGAAUACUAUAAUAAUGUUUCCAUUAAAGGCACAGGGGAAAAUAAUCUUCUAUCAUAAGUGAAUCUUGAACAAGUUAGUGUACAGUUGAUUUAGCUCAUUCCUUACCGAAGUCGCUAAAUGUAAUGUGUAUUUGCGUGUCUUCUCAUUAUUCAACUCUACCUAUUUUGAGGAUUCGAUGUGCAGAACACGGACUAAAGUUAAAGGUUAGUGUAUAAUGUGCUUUUUGAUGUGAUACGAUCAGGAAUAAUGUGAUAUUUGUGACUGACUUUAGCAUACUAUCGUUCUAGACUUGGGCGCUGUCUCAACGGACAUCGAAUGCAAAUACUGUUUUGUUUAAAACAAUUUACUAUCCCCUAAUGUGUUUCUCUCAUUUUUUAUUACAGGAUAUAGGUAUUAGGGAAGCAAAUGUGCUCUAGUUGCAAAGCCAGAAAAGGGAGAAAUUGGAGCUUUAUACGACCUUGAGUUUGCGACUAGAGGAACCGAGAAUUAUGUCAUGCUGGAUAUCAAACCAGGAGACUUUGAAGACAUCACAAUAUGCUACUGGAUCAAGAAGAAA